rnacentral:tRNA from 1 species
AGUAAUGAAGUAAUAUAUACAUUUAGUUUCGACCUAAUAUAAGAAUAAAAAAUUCCUUACUU